GACGAACGCUGGCGGCGUGCCUAAUACAUGCAAGUUGAGCGCUGAAGGUUGGUACUUGUACCAACUGGAUGAGCAGCGAACGGGUGAGUAACGCGUGGGGAAUCUGCCUUUGAGCGGGGGACAACAUUUGGAAACGAAUGCUAAUACCGCAUAAAAACUUUAAACACAAGUUUUAAGUUUGAAAGAUGCAAUUGCAUCACUCAAAGAUGAUCCCGCGUUGUAUUAGCUAGUUGGUGAGGUAAAGGCUCACCAAGGCGAUGAUACAUAGCCGACCUGAGAGGGUGAUCGGCCACAUUGGGACUGAGACACGGCCCAAACUCCUACGGGAGGCAGCAGGAGGGAAUCUUCGGCAAGGGACGAAAGUCUGACCGAGCAACGCCGCGUGAGUGAAGAAGGUUUUCGGAUCGUAAAACUCGGUUGGUAGAGAAGAACGUUGGUGAGAGUGGAAAGCUCAUCAAGUGACGGUAACUACCCAGAAAGGGACGGCUAACUACGUG
rnacentral:rRNA from 1 species